UGCAAGUCGAGGGGCAGCAGGGAUAGCAAUAUUCGCUGGCGACCGGCGCACGGGUGCGUAACACGUAUACAAUCUGCCUUUAACAGGGGGAUAGCCCGGAGAAAUCCGGAUUAAUACCCCAUAACACAUGAAAUAGCAUUAUUUUAUGUUAAAAGCUCCGGCGGUUAGAGAUGAGUAUGCGUCUGAUUAGCCAGUUGGUGAGGUAACGGCUCACCAAGGCGACGAUCAGUAGGGGAUCUGAGAGGAUUAACCCCCACACGGAUACUGAGACACGGAUCCGACUCCUACGGGAGGCAGCAGUAAGGAAUAUUGGACAAUGCCCGCAAGGGUGAUCCAGCCAUGCCGCGUGCAGGAAGACGGCCCUAUGGGUUGUAAACUGCUUUUACACCGGAGAAAACCCCAGUACGUGUACUGGGCUGAUAGUAUGGUGAGAAUAAGCAUCGGCUAACUUCGUGCCAGCAGCCGCGGUAAGACGAAGGAUGCAAGCGUUAUCCGGAUUCAUUGGGUUUAAAGGGAGCGUAGGUGGCCUUAUAAGUCAGUGGUGAAAUCUCUCGGCUUAACCGAGAAAUUGCCAUUGAUACUGUAGGGCUUGAGUACAGUUGCUGUGGGCGGAAUAUGACAUGUAGUGGUGAAAUACAUAGAGAUGUCAUAGAACACCGAUUGCGAAGGCAGCUCACAAAACUGUAACUGACACUGAGGC
rnacentral:rRNA from 1 species